GGAUCCAGACUUUGAUCAUGGCUCAGGAUGAACGCUAGCUACAGGCUUAACACAUGCAAGUCGAGGGGAAACGACAUCGAAAGCUUGCUUUUGAUGAGCGUCGACCGGCGCACGGGUGAGUAACGCGUAUCCAACCUGCCCACCACUUGGGGAUAACCUUGCGAAAGUAAGACUAAUACCCAAUGAUAUCUCUAGAAGACAUCUGAAAGAGAUUAAAGAUUUAUCGGUGAUGGAUGGGGAUGCGUCUGAUUAGCUUGUUGGCGGGGUAACGGCCCACCAAGGCAACGAUCAGUAGGGGUUCUGAGAGGAAGGUCCCCCACAUUGGAACUGAGACACGGUCC
rnacentral:rRNA from 1 species